rnacentral:rRNA from 1 species
UACGGAGGAUGCAAGCGGUAUCCGGAAUGAUUGGGCGUAAAGCGUCCGCAGGUGGCACUGUAAGUCUGCUGUUAAAGAGCAAGGCUCAACCUUGUAAAGGCAGUGGAAACUACAGAGCUAGAGUACGUUCGGGGCAGAGGGAAUUCCUGGUGUAGCGGUGAAAUGCGUAGAGAUCAGGAAGAACACCGGUGGCGAAAGCGCUCUGCUAGGCCGUAACUGACACUGAGGGACGAAAGCGUGGGGAGCGAACAGG